rnacentral:rRNA from 1 species
CCGCGUGUGUGAGAAGGUCUUCGGAUUGUAAAGCACUUUAAGUUGGGAGGAAGGGCAGUAAGUUAAUACCUUGCUGUUUUGACGUUACCAACAGAAUAAGCACCGGCUAACUUCGUGCCAGCAGCCGCGGUAAU